UACAGAGGGGGCAAGCGUUAUUCGGAAUUAUUGGGCGUAAAGGGCGCGUAGGCGGUGUCGUAAGUAGGAUGUGUAAUCCCCGAGCUCAACUUGGGAACUGCAUCCUAGACUGCGAUGCUAGAGUGCUGGAGAGGGUGGUAGAAUUCCACGUGUAGCGGUGAAAUGCGUAGAGAUGUGGAGGAAUACCAGUGGCGAAGGCGGCCACCUGGACAGUAACUGACGCUGAUGCGCGAAAGUGUGGGUAGCAAACAGG
rnacentral:rRNA from 1 species